rfam:Raoultella ornithinolytica strain S12, complete genome.
AACGGGUAAAACACUGGCACGGGCGAAGAGGUUUCCUCUCCGCCCGUGCACGCAUGUUAAGGGGCUGAAAAACACC